rnacentral:lncRNA from 1 species
AUGAUGUUGAUUUCUCUUUUAAAACUGCCCUUUAAGGCAGUGCAUUCCAUCAUUAUUUCUUUUUUAAUGCUCAGAACAUACUGGACCUUUAUUAAGCUCGCCACGCUGCUCUAUGGAGGCUUUUGUAUAUGUAAGCAACUGAAAACAUUGACGGAAAUGCCUUGGUAUCUGUAUACAUUGUAUACAAUGUGGCAUACAGCUCCAGAGGAAGCUGCUAAUAUUACAGAACUUGUGAUUUUAAAACCAUCUCCUAGUCUCUCCUUUGAAUCCUUGACGCAUUUUCUGAAUGCCCAUUUGACCAUGUUGUCAAUCUCCUUGAAUGCACUACUCAUCAUUCUAGUCAUUUCACUCAGUAUCUAUAUUUUGAGGAAGCCUUCUCCAAAGCCAGAGGAUACUGAGUGGCAGGGAGUGUGGAGAAAACUGGGAGAGACCUUAGAGAGAUGGGCAUCUCCAGUGUCAUGGAACUUUACUCCUGAACACCUGGAAGAUCCUGAGAGCCUAAGCGAAUAUUUAAGACAGGGAUGUGACAGCUCUGGCAAAUCUGAGGAGGCACAAAUCAUUUGGGGCCUAGCUCAUGCUUAUCGGGCCUUAUUCAAUGCUAUCCCAGAGAGGGAGAGACAGUUUGAAAACAAAAUACAGGGUCUCCAAACCGAAAUACAGGGUCUCCAAAACAAAAUAGAUUGUUUCCAAGCUGAGAGAGAGAGUUUCCAAAGUGAAAGGGAGAGUUUCCGUCAGAAAGUACUGAAUGAGCGAGAGAGUCUCCAAGCCGACAUGCAGAGUUUCGAGGAGUGGGUUCGAGCUGAAAGUGGGAAUCUCCUAACCAGAGAAAGGAAUCUCCGGAUCUGCCAAGAGUGUCUCCAAGCUGAAAAAGAAAUUCUCCAAGCUGAAAAGGAAGAUCUUCGAGCUGAAAGAAAUAAUCUCCGAUCUCAGGAAAACAUCUUCCAGUCGGAAUGGUACACCUUCCAAAAUGAGCGGGACACUCUGCAAUCCAAGCUCGACUCUCUCCAAUCCGAGCGGGACACUCUGCAAUCUGAGCGAGACACCUUCCAAAAUGAGCGGAACACUGCAAUCCAAGCUCGACUGUCUCCAAUCCGAGCGGGACACUCUGCAGUCCAAGCACGACUGUCUCCAAUCCGAGCAGGACACUCUGCAAUCCAAGCUCGACUGUCUCCAAUCCGAGCGAGGCACCUUCCAAAAUGA